rnacentral:rRNA from 1 species
GUCCUGGCCGUAAACGUUGGGCACUAGGUGUUGGAGGCAUCGACCCCUCCAGUGCCGUAGCUAACGCAUUAAGUGCCCCGCCUGGGGAGUACGGCCGCAAGGUUGAAACUCAAAGGAAUUGACGGGGGCCCGCACAAGCGGUGGAGCAUGUGGUUUAAUUCGACGCAACGCGAAGAACCUUACCCAGACUUGACAUGCACGGGACCGGUGUUGAAAGACACCUUCCCUUCGGGGCUCGUGCACAGAUGCUGCAUGGCUGUCGU